rnacentral:lncRNA from 1 species
GCCAUGAAGCCAUUACUCUGCAUCCCAUGCAAUGGAACUGAAUGAUGGAGUUCCCCACGGAGAAGUGACCCACAGAAGCAGAACAGGAAAAAGACAAUUGGGUAGCAAGAAGAAUUUAGAAAAACACCACAACCCAAAACAAUGAAAGAAGACUUGAUGCCUCAUAAUGACUAACUUUAUG